GCUAAGUUCUCCGAUAAUGAAGUCAAACAAACAAACGCCCCAAACACUCGAUGGGAUCCACGCCGUUUGCCGCCAAAAAGCUUUUUGGCCUGAGGUCGACACAUCAUCCUCAAAAUCACACCAGGAGUUUGAGACCCAUCUGUAAAGCAGUUUACAAAAGCAGGUGUGUUUCAUUGGGUGAUGUCCACGAUGGUUUACCCCGGUGACGAGGCUCUAGAGUGGAUUAUGCAGGAUGAAAUCGUGCUGACUACAACAUUAAAUCGUUGAUCAGCUUGGAGACGCUGCAAGGGGAACAGGCUCAUCUCCCAAAACCAUUCUGGACUGCAGUCAACCAGCCGGAGCGCAGGAGAAAUCCAGACUGCUGCUCGAGGACCUGAAGGAGGACAUUGAGCUGGGCCUGGAAGAAGCACAGUGGAAACAGGAGCGCAGGAGAAAUCCAGACUGCUGCUGGAGGACCUGGAGGAGGACAUUGAGCUGGGCCUGGGAGAAGCACAGCGUAAACAGGAGCGCAGGAGAAAUCCAGACUGCUGCUGGAGGACCUGGAGGAGGACAUUGAGCUGGGCCUGGGAGAAGCACAGCGGAAACAGGAGCGCAGGAGAAAUCCAGACUGCUGCUGGAGGACCUGGAGGAGGACAUUGAGCUGGGCCUGGGAG
rnacentral:lncRNA from 1 species